UACAGAGGGGGCAAGCGUUGUUCGGAAUUACUGGGCGUAAAGGGCGCGUAGGCGGCCUGUUAAGUCGAACGUGAAAUCCCCGGGCUCAACCCGGGAACUGCGUCCGAUACUGGCAGGCUUGAAUCCGGGAGAGGGAUGUGGAAUUCCAGGUGUAGCGGUGAAAUGCGUAGAGAUGUGGAGGAACACCGAUGGCGAAGGCAGCCUCCUGGGUCAAGAUUGACGCUCAUGCACGAAAGCGUGGGGAGCAAACAGG
rnacentral:rRNA from 1 species